CCGGCUAUCUCCGUGCCACCAGCCGCGGUAAUACGGAGGGUGCAAGCGUUAUCCGGAAUCAUUGGGUUUAAAGGGUCCGCAGGCGGUCAAUUAAGUCAGAGGUGAAAUCCCAUAGCUCAACUAUGGAACUGCCUUUGAUACUGGUUGACUUGAGUUAUACGGAAGUAGAUAGAAUAAGUAGUGUAGCGGUGAAAUGCAUAGAUAUUACUUAGAAUACCGAUUGCGAAGGCAGUCUACUACGUAUAUACUGACGCUCAUGGACGAAAGCGUGGGGAGCGAACAGG
rnacentral:rRNA from 1 species